UUAAGUGACUAAGCGUAUACGGUGGAUGCCUAGGCAGUUAGAGGCGAUGAAGGACGUGUAAGUCUGCGAAAAGUUGUGGGGAGCCGACAAAAUGCUUUGAUCCACAAAUGUCCGAAUGGGGAAACCCACCGCUUCGGCGGUAUCAUGCAGUGAAUACAUAGCUGCAUGAGGCAAACGAGGGGAACUGAAACAUCUAAGUACCCUUAGGAAAAGAAAUCAACCGAGAUUCCCCUAGUAGCGGCGAGCGAACGGGGAUUAGCCCUUAAGCUAAUUAUAAGCGAGUGGAAGGUGUUGGAAAGCACAGCGAUACAAGGUGAUAGCCCUGUACACGAACGCGAAUUUUAAGUGAAAUCGAGUAGGUCGGGACACGUGUUAUCUUGACUGAACAUGGGGGGACCAUCCUCCAAGGCUAAAUACUCCUAACUGACCGAUAGUGAACCAGUACCGUGAGGGAAAGGCGAAAAGAACCCCUGUGAGGGGAGUGAAAUAGAACCUGAAACCGCAUACGUACAAGCAGUGAGAGCUAGAUUUAGUCUAGUGAUUGCGUACCUUUUGUAUAAUGGGUCAGCGACUUAUAUUCUGUAGCAAGGUUAACCGAAUAGGGGAGCCGUAGCGAAAGCGAGUGUUAACUGCGCGUUUUAGUUGCAAGGUAUAGACCCGAAACCCGGUGAUCUAGCCAUGGGCAGGUUGAAGGUUGAGUAACAUCAACUGGAGGACCGAACCGACUAACGUUGAAAAGUUAGCGGAUGACUUGUGGCUGGGGGUGAAAGGCCAAUCAAACCGGGAGAUAGCUGGUUCUCCCCGAAAGCUAUUUAGGUAGCGCCUCGGACGAAUACCACUGGGGGUAGAGCACUGUUAAGGCUAGGGGGUCAUCCCGACUUACCAACCCUUUGCAAACUCCGAAUACCAGUGAGUACUAUCCGGGAGACACACGGCGGGUGCUAACGUCCGUCGUGAAGAGGGAAACAACCCAGACCGCCAGCUAAGGUCCCAAAAUUAUUGCUAAGUGGGAAACGAUGUGGGAAGGCUAAGACAGCUAGGAGGUUGGCUUAGAAGCAGCCACCCUUUAAAGAAAGCGUAAUAGCUCACUAGUCGAGUCGGCCUGCGCGGAAGAUGUAACGGGGCUAAGCAAUAUACCGAAGCUGCGGACGCAAAGUUUACUUUGCGUGGUAGGGGAGCGUUGUGUAAGUGGCUGAAGGUGAACUGAGAGGUUUGCUGGACAUAUCACAAGUGCGAAUGCUGACAUGAGUAACGAUAAUGCGGGUGAAAAACCCGCACGCCGGAAGACCAAGGUUUCCUGUCCCAUGCUAAUCAGGGCAGGGUAAGUCGGCCCCUAAGGCGAGGCAGAAAUGCGUAGUCGAUGGGAAACGGAUUAAUAUUUCCGUACUUGGUAUAUCAGUGAUGGGGGGACGGAGAAGGUUAUGCAAGCAUAGCGUUGGUUGUCUAUGUGAAAGUGUGUAGGGUUGAAUCUUAGGUAAAUCCGGGAUUCUACAUGCCUGAGACACGAGACGAGACUCUACGGAGUUGAAGUUGCAAAUACCCUGCUUCCAGGAAAAGCCUCUAAACUUAUGAUAUAUCGAACCGUACCCCAAACCGACACAGGUGGUCAGGUAGAGAAUACUAAGGCGCUUGAGAGAACUCGGGUGAAGGAACUCGGCAAAAUCGUACCGUAACUUCGGGAGAAGGUACGCCGCUGUUUGUGAUGAGACUUGCUCUCUAAGCGAAUGGCGGCCGCAGUGAAAAGGUGGCUGGGACUGUUUAUUAAAAACACAGCACUGUGCUAAAUCGAAAGAUGACGUAUACGGUGUGACACCUGCCCGGUGCCGGAAGGUUAAUUGAUGGGGUUAGCGCAAGCGAAGCUCUUGAUCGAAGCCCCGGUAAACGGCGGCCGUAACUAUAACGGUCCUAAGGUAGCGAAAUUCCUUGUCGGGU
rnacentral:rRNA from 1 species